CUCCAAGACUGACUGGUCAUUCAGGUGACCGGCACUCCAAGACUGACUGGUCAUUCAGGUGACCGGCACUCCAAGACUGACUGGUCAUUCAGGUGACAGGCACUCCAAGACUGACUGGUCAUUCAGGUGACAGGCACUCCAAGACUGACUGGUCAUUCAGGUGACCGGCACUCCAAGACUGACUGAUCAUUCAGGUGACAGGCACUCCAAGACUGACUGGUCAUUCAGGUGACCGGCACUCCAAGACUGACUGGUCAUUCAGGUGACAGGCACUCCAAGACUGACUGGUCAUUCAGGUGACCGGCACUCCAAGACUGACUGGUCAUUCAGGUGACAGGCACUCCAAGACUGACUGGUCAUUCAGGUGACCGGCACUCCAAGACUGACUGGUCAUUCAGGUGACAGGCACUCCAAGACUGACUGGUCAUUCAGGUGACAGGCACUCCAAGACUGACUGGUCAUUCAGGUGACAGGCACUCCAAGACUGACUGGUCAUUCAGGUGACAGGCACUCCAAGACUGACUGAUCAUUCAGGUGACCGGCACUCCAAGACUGCCUGAGAUCAUUCAGGUGACCGGCACUCCAAGACUGCCUGAGAUCAUUCAGGUGACCGGCACUCCAAGACUGCCUGAGAUCAUUCAGGUGACCGGCACUCCAAGACUGCCUGAGAUCAUUCAGGUGACCGGCACUCCAAGACUGCCUGAGAUCAUUCAGGUGACCGGCACUCCAAGACUGCCUGAGAUCAUUUCAUAUGUUUUAUUGUUGUAUCUUACCCCCUUUUUCUCCCUAUUUUUGUGAUAUUCAGUUGUGAUCCUGUCUCAUCGCUGCAGCUCCCCAGAGGGCUCAGGAGAGGCGAAGGUCGAGUUAUGCAUCCUUCGAAACACGACCCGCCAAACCGCGCUUCUUAACUCCCACCCGCUUAACCCAGAAGCCAGCUGACAACCGAAGUAAGCCUGCAGGCACCCGGCCCGCCACAAGGAGUCACUAGAGCGUGAUGAGCCAAGUAAUACCCCCCUCGGCCAAACCCUCCCCUAUCCCGGAUGCUGCUGGGCCAAUUGUGCGGCGCGCUAUGGCACUCCCGGUCACAGCCGGUUGUGACACAGCCUGGGAUCGAACAAGCUGAGAUAAU